rnacentral:rRNA from 1 species
AUGGGUGACUUUAACGAGAUCUUGACAUGCGAUGAGAAGGAAGGAGGUGCGGCUAGAGCUCAAAGGUGCAUGGACAAUUUCAGAGAGGCUCUAGAUUCAUGUGAGCUGAAUGAUAUUGGUUACACCGGGGACAAGUUCACAUGGCGGAACCACAACAAUCUGGAGAGGUUGGAUCGAGCUAUGGCAAAUGCCCUAUGGUGUGAGGCAUUUCCUGACUUUUCGGUCCUCAACGGCUACCCAAGGCACUCAGACCAUCGACCGGUGAUCGUCCAUACGUCGGGAGGUGGAGUUAGGGGUCGAAAUGAAGGGAGAAGCUUUCGAUUUGAAGCAUGGUGGCUGCAGGAAGAGGGGUGUGCCGAGGUGGUUUGGGAGGCCUGGGAGGCAGGGCUGAGUGGUGGUCAGGGUGGGGUGAGUGCAGCUAUGAAGAAUGUGGCAGGCUCUAUGGUCACUUGGCAGAAAGAAGUGGUGGGGAGAUUGAAGAAAGGCUGA